GCAGCCUGAUGCAGCGACGCCGCGUGAGGGAUGACGGCCUUCGGGUUGUAAACCUCUUUCAGUAGGGAAGAAGCGAAAGUGACGGUACCUGCAGAAGAAGCGCCGGCUAACUACGUGCCAGCAGCCGCGGUAAUACGUAGGGCGCAAGCGUUAUCCGGAAUUAUUGGGCGUAAAGAGCUCGUAGGCGGUUUGUCGCGUCUGCCGUGAAAGUCCGGGGCUCAACUCCGGAUCUGCGGUGGGUACGGGCAGACUAGAGUGAUGUAGGGGAGACUGGAAUUCCUGGUGUAGCGGUGAAAUGCGCAGAUAUCAGGAGGAACACCGAUGGCGAAGGCAGGUCUCUGGGCAUUAACUGACGCUGAGGAGCGAAAGCAUGGGGAGCGAACAGGAUUAGAUACCCUGGUAGUCCAUGCCGUAAACGUUGGGCACUAGGUGUGGGGGACAUUCCACGUUUUCCGCGCCGUAGCUAACGCAUUAAGUGCCCCGCCUGGGGAGUACGGCCGCAAGGCUAAAACUCAAAGGAAUUGACGGGGGCCCGCACAAGCGGCGGAGCAUGCGGAUUAAUUCGAUGCAACGCGAAGAACCUUACCAAGGCUUGACAUGGGCCGGACCGGGCUGGAAACAGUCCUUCCCCUUUGGG
rnacentral:rRNA from 1 species